UGUUUCGGCUGUAUUAUUUCUUGUCUUUAGGACUUUUAGGAUUUUCUUCUUAUUUUUUUUUACAAUAGAUAAAACAAUAAAUAAAUAAUUGUGUACUUUAUAUUAUUUCAGUAAAGCUGGACAUAAAUAGCUGUUGGCUUUUUUUUUCAGGUCAGGUCAAGUUAAGUUUAUUUAUCAAGCACAUUUUAAAAACAAGGAAUUUGAAACAAAUCGACAAGAAAAUCAGUUAUCAUUUUUAUCAUUCGUCAAUUGAAGUUGCAGGUUUAGAACGUAACUCUCUGUCAGUCUUCAGAUACCAUUCAGACUUGAUUACUGAUUAACCUUUAAGGCAAGGGUGUCAAACUCAUUUUCUCCCCGGGCCACGUGAGUGAAAUCUGUACCCUUAAAAGGGCCAACUGAAAAUCUAAGACCAAUUUCAUUACUCAUAAGGGAAAUUUCUAGAGUUUGAUCAUUAUGGGAGAAUAUGUUUUUGUUUCUUUGUUUUUUUUUUUUGUUUGUUUUUUUUUUUCAAAGCAUUUUUUUUUCUGGUUAUUUUGGGAGUAUCUUUUGUUAAUUAUAUUAAUAAAACAUAAAUUAAAAAAAAUAAUAAAAUAUAUGAUCAAAUAAACUUAAUAAAUUAUACUAAUAAUGAUCUAUAAUUAUAUAUUUGUAAUUUAUAAAAUUAUAUAAUUAUAAAUAUAAUUAUCUAAUAAUUAACUUUAAUUCAAUUAUAAUUUAUUUAAAAAAUGAUAUAAUUUAUAAUAAAUGAAUUAAUCUAGAGACCAUUACUUUUAUUUUUCUGUAUUACUGUUACUGUGGUAAAGUUGAAUCACUCUUCAACAGUGUGAAGAGUCUUAAUAAAUAUGAUAUCCUAUUUAAGAUUAUUAAUUUUAUUGACUAUGCAGUUGUUAAGUCUGACGUCACGCGGCAGCACUUCCGGGUCUAAACGCUCUGUCUCAUACCACAAGUUCUUUUCUAAUUGAUCAGACAGUUUUCAGCAGAUGAUAAACUCACAAGAAUUCCAUAGACUUUCAUUGACAGAAUUCAAACUCCAACUGAAACUCCAACUGUCAAAAAAUUCAAAUGUAACUACACACACACACACUGUUUCUGACUGUCUAACUGUCUCUCUUUAGGUGCUCCAGAAUGAUUAAACUAUGUUAAACUAUGUUAAACUUUCAGACAAUGCUUUGUCAAGGCAGCAUCAGAAUUUAUCUUGAUGAACUUUACCUAAUUAGUUUUGUUCUGAGAUCAGUCUGAUACCGAUUUGGUUUAAUUUUAAUACCGUAUAAUCAGAGUAGGUCACUUCAGUCGUCUGCUCUCUGCUGUCAGGAACACUGUCAUUUCUAAUGGCUCCAUCAGUUUAUACAUAGUAAAGUUAUACAAGAGUGUAAAAGAAGGUAAAUAGAUGAGCAGGGACAGGAACUGUAAAGAAUUUAACUAUUCUGUUUCUGAGACACAGUUCCAGUUCAUUAACCGACCCAUUAAUGAUUUUUUUUUUUUUAAAUAAUUGAUCCUUGAAUCAACAAACAAACUAAACAAACAAAAAAAAAUUCUUUUGGCAACAUUUCUUUGUAAAUUUAAGUACCAUUUAUUAUGACAAUGUUCUUCCUAAUGUGUGUCUUUAACAUCCAGUCAGUAACUUCACUGAUUAGAGUCACACAAGCCUAAAAUACACACAACACAGUCACAGUUUACAGUUCAAUUUGAUUGGACAUGAUGAAAAUCAUAUAACAUCCGCUGCAGUGAAUAAUUCAACAACUGCUCCGACUGAUUCAGUCAGUGAGUGAUUCAGUCAAACCCAUAAUUCAGAGCGGUUCAUCAGAGUCGUUCAUUCGUGAGUCAGGUUACACUGAUAGCGCAGUAUGUUUGCUGUCGUGUUCAUCCAGUGAGGACAUCACAAUAGAAAUCAUGUUGUCUGUUUAUUGUCUCUGUGUUAUUUCACAGCACCUGCUUUUCUCUCUCAUCAUAAUAAAUUCAGACGAUAAACUCACAUCUCAGUUAAAUGAUCAUUUCUGUUGCUGUGCUGCUGUAGAUUCAGCGGUUAGAAAACACUGUCAGAGUAUUUCAGUUCAGCGUCUGUCAGCAUCAGUGGAAGACAAUCCGACUGAAACAAAUGUCACGAAUCAUUUACUUCCUUUUUUGUUUUGUAAGAAAAGAAACCAGUUCUGUUUAAAGACAGAGGAGAAAAAGUGAAACAGUUUGAGCAGUGGAGGUUCAGAUGAGCUGAAGUGAUGUGACAGGACGUCCUGCUUUAUCAGUUCAUGAUUGAUUAUCCAAACAAUCUAUUAUAUAUGAAUCACAGGAGCUUUACGAUGUUUUCAUGAUGUUUGAAUGGCAUUUAGUUCAGACGUCACAUGAGACUCACAGGUCCCUAUUGUGUGCUCAAGGCUCUAGUGAGAACAGACGCCGCUGUUCCCAAAACACUGAUGCCAAACACUAGAUAUAUAAAGACGGUGCUCUCGUAUUACUAUGAUUGGGAGAAAGUGCAAAGCGCAAUAUGGCAGAAUAAGUCCCGCCUUCUAAGUAAAAAAGAGCCAAUCAUCAAUUACUAAAGUCAUCGCGUCACUGCAGCUGCCGUUAGAAGCUCCGGUUGCUAUAGAAACAGUGAGUGUUUAUGCCUGCACAUGUGCAUCUGCUGCUCCAGCCUGAAAAAUGCAGUUUUUUGUCAUGAUUUGAGCAUUUAGAAACAAAAUUUAUGAGACAGUGUGGUCAGAUUUCAUUGGUGAUUUCAAAUAUGAAGUUUAAUCGUAAUCUUGGUGAACAGCUUUGGAGAAUUUGAUGUUUCCCCAUUCAAAGAGAGAGGAGCUGCACUCACAUGACUGAAACAGCUGCUGAGAGGCGUUUCAAAGAUGGCCACCGAGUGAAAUGACUUUCCUGAAAGAGACUUUGCUGAUGCAGAUCACUGAACUGCUACAACAGCACAACAUGUUUCCAUGGUUACUAUAAAAGGAUGAAGAUCCUCCAGGAGUCGAUCGAGUGCUGCUGAUUUACUCUGUUACUGCGGUAAAAUCACUCUUCAACAGUGAGAAGAGUCUUAAUAAGUGUGAUAUCCUAUUUAAGAUUAUUAAUUUUUUAUAUACUUUAUUAUGUCUUUCAGUUCAAGCACAUUUAAUACAGUUAUACAAACGAACAUUUCCUUUAAAGACAUAAUAUUUUUUACCGAUAGUUAUUCCUCAUUUUUCCUUCUUCAUUCUCUUCCUUUCACUUUUUUAUCUUUUGUGAUAAUACCAUCACCAACACAUAAAAAAUAAAUAAUAAAUAAAUAAAAAUAAACAAAUAAAUAAUAAUUAGAACAAUAACCAAUACAUACACAAUUAAACACUUUUACAUACAAAAAUAGGAGAAAAAAAAGAAAAUAAAAAAUACAAGAAAUACACACACAAAAAUUAAACAUUCACAUAUUCAUAUCAAACUCUUAUAAUGACACCUAAUUCCUAAUAAGUAAUUCAAAUAAUAUUAUUUAAAACCAAUUAAUAAUAAUAUUAAAUAAAUAAAAUAAUAAGUUAAAAGGGAGGCAGGGUUAUAUAAAGAGGUAAUUAAUAAAUGUAUUCCUUUAUUUUAUAGUAUAUACUUUGAUUUUAGAGGUGCCCAAAUCUUUUCAAAAUGUAAACUUUUGCUCUUAAUUUCAUGUUAUCCUCUCCAUGGAGCGACUUUAGAAAGUAAAUCAAACAAUCAUUUAAAACUGGAGAUUCUUGCCUUCUCCAAAAUCGUGUUAUUGUUUUAAAAGCUGUAAUUCUCAGUAUUAUAGAUAAAUAUAACUCAUCUUCACUCAGUAGCAUAUGUCCUAUACCUGUACCUUUAUUAUAUUUGAUUUCUUAUUAUAUUACCUGAAUUACUUCUGUCCAAAACUGUUUUAUUAUUUUACAAGUAUAAAAUAUAUGAGUGUAAUGAGCUUUAAGUUCACCGCAGCUUCUCCAACAUCCUGAAAAUAAAUGAUUAUAUUUGGAAGAUAUUUCUGGUGUUAUAAAAUAUCGCAUAUUGAUUUUCCAAGCAUAUUCUUGCCAAUAUGGAGAUUGCGUAGUUCUUAAAUGUUCUUUUAAACUUUGUUUCCAAUCUCCUUCUGUUAUUUUAUUAUCUAAUUCAAUUUCCCAUUUUGUUUUAAUAUUAUAUAAACCCGUACGCUUAAUUUCUUUGAAUAUAUUAUUUAUUCGUCCUAUCAAGUUAUCUACUCUAUUAGUUUUACUAACUUUAAUCAUAAAACACAACAGAGGGUGAAUAUCAUCUAAAGUUUUUAUUUUAAUCUCAUCCUUUAAAUAACUUCUUAUUUGAAGAUAUUUGUAAAAUAAUGUCCUAGACGAUACAUAUUUCCCCGUAUGCUCUCAAACGUCUCCAUCUCAUUGUCUCCAUAAAUUUGACAGAAUCUCAAGUCCUUUUCCAGCCCAAACCUUCAAUACAUCAUCAAAAGUAUUUGGUUUUAAAUCUGGAUCUCUUGCUGUUUCUCUCAAACAAAUCAUCUCAUGAUCACUAAUAUUCAUCACUUUGCAAAUUCUUCUCCAACAUUUAAAAGUUUCACUUGUACAAUAAUAACUAGUAUUCACCUUUUUCUUUCUUCCACAAAAUAUUAAUGUACUAAUUGCAUCACGUGACCCAGUUUCCAUACAUUUCCACUUUGAUAUAUUAUCCGCUCGCAUCCAGCUCAAAAUUGGCUCAAUCUGGGCUGCGUAAUAAUAAUACUCCAGAUUUGUCAAUGAUAACCCCACAUUUCUUUACUAUUUUGUAAAACCUUUAGUUUUGCUCUUGGUUUCCCCUCAUCACAGAUACAUUUUCUAAAAAUAAUAUGCCACUUUUUGAAAUGACUAAGAUCUUUUAUUAAAGAAAUCACUCGUAUACUCUGCGCCGAGGGCUCGAUACAUAAAGCAAAUAUUUGAGGUGAUAAUUAAGGGAUCCUCUUGUCUUGUCCUCCUCAUUAAUGCUAAAUUCUCUGAAUGAACUCCAUUGGCUCUCAGUCUUACAUUCGGUUGAUUAUAUAUUUUUUUUAACUAAUUUAAUAAACCUUAUGCUUCACAAGUUUCAAAGAUGAAGUGCCAUGAGACCCCAUCGAAAGCUUUUUCAGCAUCUAAUGUCAUCAUUAACAUUUGUUUCUUAGUUUUAGUCGCAUAAUCAAUAAGAUUUAGUGUUCUUCGUACAUUAUCAAAUAAUACCCGGUUUUUCACAAAUCCUGUCUGAUCUGAGUUCAGUAUUGUUGGUAUUAUAUCAGCAAGUCUAGUAGCGAUUAUUGAUGUGAAGAACUUCUGAUCUAUUUAACGAGGAUACAGGUCUAUAGAUGAACAUUGUUUAGGGUCUUUCUCUUCCUGUAAUAUUACGGUUAUAAUAGAUGAGUUCAUGUCCGUCACUCAUCCUGUUCUAAUCCAGUUAAAAUCCUCACACAAUAUUGGGGACAACAAUUUAUUCAAUUCUUUAUAAAAUUCAUUUGUAAAUCCAUCACUACCGGGACAUUUUUCUGUUUUACUUGUUUUAAUAUCUCUUAAAAUCUCUUCUUCUGUUAUUGGAGAGGUUAACACUUUAUUUUGUUGACUUGUAAUUGUAGGAAGAUUCAAAGAAUUCAAAUAAUUUUUAAUUUUACUGAAUCCAAACAUUCAGGAUCUGGUUUCUAAAGAGACGGGUAAUAAUCUCUAAAACACGAAACUAUUUCUAACUUUCCCUUUCUUUCAACUAAUCCUUCAUCCCUUAUACUCAUUAUUGCAGAUUUUUUCUUUUUGUUUUGUUUUUUUUAUUUAAAUGCUAGACUCCUAGAGAUUUUGCACUAUUAUCAUAUACAUUAAGUUCUUCUCAAUAUCUGCAAUUGCUGUUUUAUCUAAGGACUUCUUUAACUCUUCAUGAACCUUCUUACUUUUCUUGUAAACUUUUUAAUUUAUUUUCUAAGUUGAACUUCUCUAUUUUUCAUGAUCAUCUGCUAUUAUUUCCCGUCUCAUUGUGGCUUUAGCAUCCUCCCACAAUAUCACUGCUGUCUCUUCUCCAUUAUUAUUACUCUAUAUAAUUUCUAAAACAGUGUAUUAUUUUAUCUUUAAAAAUAUUAUCCCUAAGAAGAGAAUUAUUAAACCUCCAUAUUGAAGUUCCUUGUUUAUUCCCAAGAUCCAUUUCCAUUAUCACUGCAUGAUCUGCUACAGUUAUUGGUCAAAUUUCACAGCUCUUUACCCUUAGCACAUCAUUUUUGAACAUAAAUAUAUAAUCUAAUCUGGAAUAAAUAUUAUGAGCUUCAGAGUAAUAUGUAAACUCCUGAAUCUGUGGAUGAAACGCCACACAUCUGUCAAUCCACAUCUGCCCCUUUUACUGAUUUGUGUUUUCUUGUACUCUGAGUAUCUAAUUCUUCUUCCAUCACCAAAUUUAAAUCUCCUGCCAUAAUCAUUAUUCCUUUAACUUCCAUUACUAACAACAAUAAAAUAAUUUUAAAAAAAAUUUUCCCCAGGUGGGUUUUAUACAUUAAUUAAAGUUACUUUUCGUCCUUCUAAUUCUCUGCUCACUAAUACAUAUCUUCCCUCCGGAUCUAUUUUACUAAAUUCACUUUUAAAAUUCAAAUAUCCCUUAAUCAAUAUUUCUCCUCAUUUUGCUGAUGCAAAUGAUGAUGCGAAUACUUGAGCUCCAGACAACUUUAAUAAUUUUUUAUCUUCUUCUUUAUUUAAAUGUGUUUCUUGCAGAAAAAUAAUUUCCCCUUCAUCUCUCUUAAGUUUCUGAAGUACCUCUUUCUUUUUAUUGGAUUGUUUAAACCGUUUGUAUUUACAGUUAUUAUUUUAAGUCCUCCCAUUUAUUUAUUUAUUUAUUUAUUUUCCCCCCUUAAUAAUAUUUAUAUCAUCAUGAAGGGAAACAUUAAACUCUUUCACCUCGUUUUCCUCCCUCAUAAUCACAAUCUCAAAUAAACAAAAAAUGACACAUUCACUCUUAUCAAUAGACUUCCAGCUGUGGCGUCCUUCACAAGUUUGCCUAAUAUUGUCCAAAAUUUCUUUUGAUUUUGGACAAAGGGGUCUACAGAUUCCCAAUGCAUUUGCUCCUCUAAUAUUUAGUGGUUUUCAACUGUAAGAAUAAU